AGCAAAAUCAGCACCCCGAGACCU
rnacentral:siRNA from 1 species